GAACGCUAGCGGCAGGCCUAACACAUGCAAGUCGAGGGAGAAGCCCUUUCGGGGGCAGAAACCGGCGCACGGGUGCGUAACGCGUAUGCAACCUACCUUUCACAGGGAGAUAGCCCGAAGAAAUUUGGAUUAAUACCCCAUAAUAUUGUUGGAUGGCAUCAUCUGGCAAUUAAAACUGCGGUGGUGAAAGAUGGGCAUGCGUCCUAUUAGCUAGUUGGAGUGGUAACGGCACCCCAAGGCUACGAUAGGUAGGGGUCCUGAGAGGGAGAUCCCCCACACUGGUACUGAGACAGGGACCAGACUCCUACGGGAGGCAGCAGUGAGGAAUAUUGGUCAAUGGUCGGAAGACUGAACCAGCCAUGCCGCGUGCAGGAAGAAUGCCUUAUGGGUUGUAAACUGCUUUUAUAUGGGAAGAAUAAGGUGUACGAGUACAUUGAUGACGGUACCAUAUGAAUAAGCAUCGGCUAACUCCGUGCCAGCAGCCGCGGUAAUACGGAGGAUGCGAGCGUUAUUCGGAAUCAUUGGGUUUAAAGGGUCUGUAGGCGGGCUAUUAAGUCAGGGGUGAAAGGUUUCAGCUUAACUGAGAAAUUGCCUUUGAUACUGGUAGUCUUGAAUAUCUGUGAAGUUCUUGGAAUGUGUAGUGUAGCGGUGAAAUGCUUAGAUAUUACACAGAACACCGAUUGCGAAGGCAGGGGACUAACAGACAAUUGACGCUGAGAGACGAAAGCGUGGGGAGCGAACAGGAUUAGAUACCCUGGUAGUCCACGCUGUAAACGAUGGAUACUAGCUGUUUGGUGAUAAGCUGAGUGGCUAAGCGAAAGUGAUAAGUAUCC
rnacentral:rRNA from 1 species